rnacentral:tRNA from 1 species
UAGGGACUGCAAGACUUCAUCUUACAUCAAUUGAACGCAAA